rnacentral:rRNA from 1 species
GAUGAACGCUGACAGAAUGCUUAACACAUGCAAGUCGACUGGAAUUUGGGUGUUUAACUGGGGUUUGGGUGGCGGACGGGUGAGUAACGCGUAAAGAACUUGCCUCACAGCUAGGGACAACAUUUGGAAACGAAUGCUAAUACCUAAUAUUAUGAUAAUAGGGCAUCCUAUAAUUAUGAAAGCUAUAAGCGCUGUGAGAGAGCUUUGCGUCCCAUUAGCUAGUUGGAGAGGUAACGGCUCACCAAGGCGAUGAUGGGUAGCCGGCCUGAGAGGGUGAUCGGCCACAAGGGGACUGAGACACGGCCCUUACUCCUACGGGAGGCAGCAGUGGGGAAUAUUGGACAAUGGACCGAGAGUCUGAUCCAGCAAUUCUGUGUGCACGAUGAAGUUUUUCGGAAUGUAAAGUGCUUUCAGUUGGGAAGAAACAAAUGACGGUACCAACAGAAGAAGUGACGGCUAAAUACGUG